rnacentral:rRNA from 1 species
GAGCACGUAGGUGGGUUUGUAAGUCAGAUGUGAAAGCCUUCUGUUCAACGGAAGAAUUGCAUCUGAAACUGCGAGUCUUGAGUGUAGGAGGGGAGAAUGGAACUUCUGGUGGAGCGGUGAAAUGCGUAGAUAUCAGAAGGAACGCCGGCGGCGAAAGCGAUUCUCUGGCCUAUUACUGACACUCAGUGUGCGAAAGCUAGGGGAGCAAACGGGAUUAGAUACCCCGGUAGUCCUAGCUGUAAACGAUGGGCACUAAGUAGAGGGGUUUU